rnacentral:miRNA from 1 species
AGGGUGUGUUUUUUUUU